rnacentral:rRNA from 1 species
GAGUUUGAUCCUGGCUCAGAACGAACGCUGGCGGCAGGCCUAACACAUGCAAGUCGAACGCGUGUAGCAAUACACGAGUGGCGCACGGGUGAGUAACACGUGGGAAUCAACCCAGAGGUUCGGAAUAACCGCGGGAAACUGCGGCUAAUACCGGAUAUCCCCUACGGGGGAAAGAUUUAUCGCCUUUGGACGAGCCCGCGUCCGAUUAGCUAGUUGGUGAGGUAACGGCUCACCAAGGCUACGAUCGGUAGCUGGUCUGAGAGGAUGAUCCGCCACACUGGGACUGAGACACGGCCCAGACUCCUACGGGAGGCAGCAGUGGGGAAUUUUGGACAAUGGACGAAAGUCUGAUCCAGCCAUGCCGCGUGAGUGAAGAAGGCCUUCGGUUGU